rnacentral:rRNA from 1 species
GUGUCAGCCGCCGCGGUAAGACAGAGGGUGCAAACGUUGCUCGGAAUUACUGGGCGUAAAGCGCGUGUAGGCGGGCCCCCAAGUCGGACGUGAAAGCCCCGAGCUCAACUCGGGAACUGCAUCCGAAACUGAGGGCCUGGAGUAGUGGAGAGGGAAGCAGAAUUCCUGGUGUAGAGGUGAAAUUCGUAGAUAUCAGGAGGAACACCGGUGGCGAAGGCGGCUUCCUGGACACUUACUGACGCUGAGACGCGAAAGCGUGGGGAGCAAACAGGAUUAGAAACCCGGGUAGUCC